rnacentral:rRNA from 1 species
GGGAUAACACUUGGAAACAGGUGCUAAUACCGCAUAACCAUAGUUACCGCAUGGUAACUAUGUAAAAGGUGGCUAUGCUACCGCUUUUGGAUGGGCCCGCGGCGCAUUAGCUAGUUGGUGGGGUAAAGGCUUACCAAGGCAAUGAUGCGUAGCCGAACUGAGAGGUUGAUCGGCCACAUUGGGACUGAGACACGGCCCAAACUCCUACGGGAGGCAGCAGUAGGGAAUCUUCCACAAUGGGCGAAAGCCUGAUGGAGCAACGCCGCGUGGGUGAAGAAGGUCUUCGGAUCGUAAAACCCUGUUGUUGGAGAAGAAAGUGCGUGAGAGUAACUGUUCACGUUUCGACGGUAUCUAACCAGAAAGCCACGGCUAACUACGUGCCAGCAGCCGCGGUAAUACGUAGGUGGCAAGCGUUAUCCGGAUUUAUUGGGCGUAAAGGGAACGCAGGCGGUCUUUUAAGUCUGAUGUGAAAGCCUUCGGCUUAACCGGAGUAGUGCAUUGGAAACUGGGAGACUUGAGUGCAGAAGAGGAGAGUGGAACUCCAUGUGUAGCGGUGAAAUGCGUAGAUAUAUGGAAGAACACCAGUGGCGAAAGCGGCUCUCUGGUCUGUAACUGACGCUGAGGUUCGAAAGCGUGGGUAGCAAACAGGAUUAGAUACCCUGGUAGUCCACGCCGUAAACGAUGAAUAUAGAGUGUUGG